rnacentral:lncRNA from 1 species
UGUGGCUCGGGUGCAGGGAGAGGCAGGUGGAUGCUGGGAGGUCAGAACCUGCAAGGGCCUUGGGGCUGUCAAGUGGGGUGGGCCCCUGGUGCAGCCAGAGUACACCGGGCAGGUCUCAGGGCAGGCUCCCUUGACCCUGGCGGGGGGAUGUGGUCACUCCCUGAGGGACUCCUGUCAGGGCCCGGUCGCCCACCCUGGGCGGCCCCCAUCCCAUCUCAGGGCUAACCUUUCUCAGCUCCAGCAGAAAGCACCACCUCGAGUCCAGGACGGGCAGCCCCACUGGGCAGCCUGACCGCCCCCCACGCCAGGGGCCCCAGUAACCCCGGCCAGGCUGUCCCUACACUCCUUCUUCUCCCAGGUCCUGCCCCUCCUGGGAGUCAGCCCCACAGGAAGGCCCUUGUCCUCCCUUCCCUGUGCCUUCUCCUGGGCUGAGCCCUGAGCUGGAAAGGGACAGAGCCAGUCCUUUCUGGGGGUCGGCACCCAGGCUGGGGCCGCUCCAGGCCCCGUGCAGUUCCUCAGCUCUGCCUGGGUUGCCUUACAGUGAGACGGAGCUGCCUCCUCUGACUGCGCGGGAGGCGAAGCAAAUUCGGCGGGAGAUCAGCCGAAAGAGCAAGUGGGUGGAUAUGCUGGGAGACUGGGAGAAAUACAAAAGCAGCAGAAAGCUCAUAGAUCGAGCGUACAAGGGAAUGCCCAUGAACAUCCGGGGCCCGAUGUGGUCAGUCCUCCUGAACAUUGAGGAAAUGAAGUUGAAAAACCCCGGAAGAUACCAGAUCAUGAAGGAGAAGG